rnacentral:sRNA from 1 species
GUCGCGAGGGAGAUCUGGCUGCGACAUCUGCCACCCAUUGAUCAUCAGGGUUGAUUGGGUGAUCUGAUUGGCAAUGUGGGUGUUCCCGUCCUCCUGCACGCUCAUGUGUGUCCCUUUCAAAACUUUGCCCUCCGUCAAAGAGAAUGACUUUUCCCAAUAGUGGAUGGUUCUGUCCAGCACUCCUCUGUCGGAACCUGCACACAAGCUCUGGAAACUCCUAGUGGGCUG